rnacentral:rRNA from 1 species
AUGCGCAUUGAUGUGCUCCUCGGCGUGUCGCGCGCCAUCGAGCACCUGCACUGUCAUGCCAACCCGCCGAUCAUCCAUCGGGACAUCAAGCCGAGUAACAUCCUUUUCGGCGCCAACUGGGUACCACGUGUGUCAGACUUUGGCUUGUCGCUCGUCUGGGACAUGGCGAGUGAGGUGCCGUGGUUGGAUGUCACCGUUAGAGGCACACUUGGAUACAUCGACCUUGAGUACGUCCAUACAGGUCAUCUGACUCCGGCGAGCGACGUGUCUAGCCUCGGUAUGGUUAUGCUUGGGGUUCUGACAGGGAAAAAAGCGUUUUCCCAAGCAGAGGAGGAGAUGAAUAUAGAUCUGGCAUCCUUUGCACUCCCCAUCAUUGAGGCCGGUACUACUGAGGAGAUGCUGGAUAAACGACCUGUACCGGAGCCAACGCCAUCGCAGCUGCACGCAUUGAAACGUGUGGCGCAGAUUGCAAGAUGCUGCGUGAAGUUUGCCGGGAACGACCGGCCCGCCAUAUCAGGCAUUGUUGCCAACCUCGAGACGGCGUGCGAGUUGAUGUUUCCUAUCAACAAACAUAUAACAAUCCAAACCAAUAGUUCCAUCCACUAA